AUUGAACGCUGGCGGCAGGCCUAACACAUGCAAGUCGGGCGGUAACACAGGGAGCUUGCUCCUGGGUGACGAGCGGCGGACGGGUGAGUAAUGUCUGGGAAACUGCCUGAUGGAGGGGGAUAACUACUGGAACCGGUAGCUAAUACCGCAUAACGUCGCAAGACCAAAGAGGGGGACCUUCGGGCCUCUUGCCAUCAGAUGUGCCCAGAUGGGAUUAGCUAGUAGGUGGGGUAAUGGCUCACCUAGGCGACGAUCCCUAGCUGGUCUGAGAGGAUGACCAGCCACACUGGAGCUGAGACACGGUCCAGACUCCGACGGGAGGCAGCAGUGGGGAAUAUUGCACAAUGGGCGCAAGCCUGAUGCAGCCAUGCCGCGUGUGUGAAGAAGGCCUUCGGGUUGUAAAGCACUUUCAGCGAGGAGGAAGGCGGUGAGGUUAAUAACCUCAUCGAUUGACGUUACUCGCAGAAGAAGCACCGGCUAACUCCGUGCCAGCCGCCGCUGUAA
rnacentral:rRNA from 1 species